rnacentral:tRNA from 1 species
CCCUGGUUGCUUAGCUGGUAAAGAUUUGCUUGCAAUGCAGGAGACCCUGGUUCAAUUCCUGGGUCAGGAA